GGUUCACUCCAGGGAAGAAGAGGUCUCCAGAAAUCUCAUCUGUCUCUCACUACUGCUUACUCAGAAAAACUCAUUUUGUUCAGUACUUCCAGAUUUAGCUGAACGGGGUGGGAAAGAGGAAAUGUGUAAAACUGCGUAACGGCACCUGGUGCGCUGCCAUGUUCUUUUUGCUCAGAAGCCAGCCCUGAAGAUGGAGACACCCCACAACCUUAAAGGUGACAGCUCAGUGACAGGGAGCAUGGGAAAGACUUACCUCCACAGGACAGCUCAUCCUGCAGCAGAACAAGGUGGACUGGGCA